rnacentral:rRNA from 1 species
ACAUACAACAGUGAGGAUUCGCUGGUGGUCACCCACCCAACUACUAACUCACCGGCGUGUGGCUUAAGUACGGCUGAGCGGACGGGAAGCCCUGUUUUCCACACCCUAUGGUCGUAUGUGGUAGAUUA